rnacentral:rRNA from 1 species
UACGAAGGGGGCUAGCGUUGCUCGGAAUCACUGGGCGUAAAGCGCACGUAGGCGGAUCGUUAAGUCAGGGGUGAAAUCCUGGAGCUCAACUCCAGAACUGCCUUUGAUACUGGCGAUCUUGAGUUCGGGGAGAGGUGAGUGGAACUGCGAGUGUAGAGGUGAAAUUCGUAGAUAUUCGCAAGAACACCAGUGGCGAAGGCGGCUCACUGGCCCGAUACUGACGCUGAGGUGCGAAAGCGUGGGGAGCAAACAGG